rnacentral:rRNA from 1 species
UAUAACUUUCAGCAAUGGAUGUCUUGGUUCCCAUAUUGAUGAAGAAUGCAGCGAAAUGCGAUACCUGUUGUGAAUUGUAAGACUUCGUGAAUCAUCAAAAUUUUGAAUGUGUAUCAUGCUUCUGGGAAAUGCCUGGGAGCGUGCUUGUUUGAGUGUCUGUACAUCAAACUUCAUCUGAUGAUGGUCACAUG